AGAUGACAGCUUUCGCUUAAAAGUCCAGGAGGAGCAUCACACAGGCGAAAGUAUUCUUGAGGAACUUCCUUUUGACCUAGUGAAAGAUAUACCAUUAGAUUACAUGCACCUUGUGUGCUUGGGUGUCAUGAACAAGCUCUUGACACUGUGGGUACGUGGCCCAAAAGUGACCAGACUUGGAAGCAAAGUGCGUCUUGAGAUGUCGGAAAAAAAUUCUCAAAUUGCACGGUGUGUUCCAUGUGAUUUUAGCCGAAAGCCGAGGAGCAUUGCUGAACUUGAUCGGUGGAAAGCGACUGAGUUUCGCUUUUUUCUUUUAUAUGGAGGACCCGUUGUUUUGUCAUCACUGAUUCCUGCACACAUGUACAAGAACUUCUUAGCUUUACAUGUGGGGAUCUCUGUUCUUUCCACACCAGCUGCACCUGCAAGUGAGAUAGAGUAUGCCGGAAACAUGCUCAAGUUUUUUAUCCGGACAUUCAUAAGCAUUUAUGGCAAAGAGCAUGUUUCACACAAUGUGCAUGGCCUGUGUCAUUUGGCAGAUGAUGUUACACACCUUGGCCCCUUGGACUCAUGGAGUGCCUUCCCAUUUGAAAACCAUAUGUCCUCGUUAAAGAGAAUGCUGAGAAAGCCAGACCUUCCCUUGGAGCAACUUUGCAACAGGCUUGCUGAGCAGGCACACCGUCCUCUGAGGCAUAAGAAAACUGAAAGCCAUGUCGUAUUUGCUGCAGAGCAUGCUGACGGGCCACUUGUUGCUCCAUGCCGAGGCCCCGAGUUUAAAAAAGUAACAUUGCCUGGCAAUGUCAUUCUUAGAGCUGAAAAGAGAAAUGGGUGCUGUAGGCUAAGUGAUGGGUCAAUCGUCGUUAUUGACAAUUUUGCUCAUCUCCCGUGCGGUGAGCCAUGCAUAAUUGGAAGGAAGUUCCUCAAGUGUGAAGAUUUUUAUUCUCUGCCAUGCCCUUCCUCCAUACUGGGAAUUUACUCAGUGUCUCAGCCUUCUAGUCUGCGGUAUUGGCCUCUGAAGAACAUCUCACAGAAAUGCCUGAAAGUGUAUUUGAAAAGGAAAAGCAUUGUUUUCCCUCUUUUGCAUGCUACAGUGCACAUGUAAUAAACUUUCACAACUGUGUCAGAAUGUAUACAGAAUUUGAAUUUGGCUUCUCUUUCUUUUGCAAGGUCAAUACGUUGUCGUUCUCUUCCCAGAAGAGGAUGAUACAUCUGGGAUCAUCCUCAAAAGUUGGCUGAAAGGCGACGGCUGCCUGUGGCCUCGACAAACUAAAUAUGUACAUAGUUUGUUGAAGGCGAAAGCGACUCCAGGGGCUGACUGGAUAGAAGUGCCUUGCACUGUUGUCCGAGAAUUUGAUACAUAUGCCGAAGCACGGGCAAAUCUGCCAAGGGUAGAAAAUGGAUCCAACUUGGACGGCGAGGCAGAACUUGGGAAAGGCAGAAGAAAAAAAAAUAAGAGAUCCUAUGAGUCUGAAGAUGAUGAAGGGGCACCAUCACCUCCAGCUUCAAUGAUAAGACG